AAUCUUGCGCAAUGGGCGAAAGCCUGACGCCGCCAUGCCGCGUGAACGAUGAAGGUCUAAGGAUUGUAAAAUUCUUUCAUCGGGGACGAUAAUGACGGUACCCGGAGAAGAAGCAUCGGCGAACUUCGUGCCAGCAGCCGCGGGAAUACGAAGGGGGCUAGCGUUGCUCGGAAUUACUGGGCGUAAAGGGCGCGUAGGCGGAUCGUUAAGUCAGAGGUGAAAUCCCAGGGCUCAACCCUGGAACUGCCUUUGAUACUGGCGAUCUUGAGUAUGAGAGAGGUAUGUGGAACUCCGAGUGUGGAGGUGAAAUUCGUAGAUAUUCGGAAGAACACCAGUGGCGAAGGCGACAUACUGGCUCAUUACUGACGCUGAGGCGCGAAAGCGUGGGGAGCAAACA
rnacentral:rRNA from 1 species